AUCGAACGCUGGCGGCAGGCCUAACACAUGCAAGUCGAACGAACUCUUCGGACUUAGUGGCGGACGGGUGGGUAACACGGGGGAACGUGCCUUUUGGUUCGCAAUAACUCAGGGAAACAUGUCCUAAUACCGAAUGUGCUCUUCCGGGGGAAGAUUUAUCGCCAUUAGAGCGGCCUGCGUCUGAUUCGCUAGUUGGUGAGGUAACUGCUCACCAAGGCGUGGAUGAGUAGCUGGUAUGAGAGGAUGACCAGCCACACUGGGACUCAGGCACGGCCCAGAAUCCUACGGGAGGGAGGAGAGGGGGAUCCAGCGCAACGGGGGAAAGGCUGACGCAGCCAUGCCGGGUGAGUGCUGAAGGUCGUAGGAUUGUAAAAUUCUUUAACCGGGGGCGAUAAUGACGGUACCCGGAGAAGAAGCCCCGGCUAACUUCGUG
rnacentral:rRNA from 1 species